AGUCACAGUACUGGGAAAAUCUGUGCAGUUCUGCAAUGUAUUCAGAAAUGCUUUCGUUCUUUGACUUUUUGUGAAUCUAAAUCCUUUUGUGAAUCUAAACCUCUCAGUUAUUACUAGUGGUUUAGGGCUCAAGUGAUUUAGUAAAAUUGCAACAUUUUCAUCGAACGUUUUGCUUGCUGCUUUUUCAGGAGUUAUUAGGUUGUGGAAAAGCACCCAUUAAGCUAACAAGUGUGGAGGCUUUCUUUUCCUCAUCCAUAAGAUAUAGGAGCAGAAUUAGGCCACAUGGCUCAUCGAGUCUGCCCUGUCAUUUAAUAAUGGCCAAUCUAAUUUUCCUCUCAGCUCCGAUCUCCUGCCUUCCCCCAUAUCCCUUCAUACCCUGACCAAUCAAGAAUCUAUUAAUCUCUGCCUUAAAUACACAUAAAGACUUUGCCUCCACAACUGCCUGUGGCAAAGAAUUCCACAGAUUCACCAUUCCCUGGCUAAAGAUAUUCCUCCUUGUCUCCGUUCUAAAAGGACAACCCUUUGUUCUGAGGAUGUGACCUCUGGUCAUAGACUCUCACACCAUAGAAAGCACCCUCUGCACAUUCACUCUAUCAAGGCCAUUCACCAUUCCAUAGGUUUCAAUGAGGUCUCCCCUCAUUCUUCUGAAUCCUAGUGAGUAGAGGCUCAGAGCCGUCAAGCACUCUUCAUAUGACAAGCCAUUCAAUCCUGGAAUAAUUUUUGUGAACCUCUUUUGAACCUUAUCCAGUUUCAGCAAAUCCUUUCUAAGAUAAAGCCAACUAACAAUACUCCAAGUGAGACCUCAACAACUCACAUUACACCAAAACUUCAUCAGUGCUUUAUAAAAUUUCAACAUUGCAUCCUUGUUUUUCUAUUUUAUAUUUGAAAUGAAUGCAAAAAUUGCAUUCAGGCAUAUCAGAUCUGUACAACUACAUAUCUAUUAAAUAAAAGCACACGUGCAGAGGUGAGAUUAACUGGUAGAUUCACUUUGUAGCUAGAGAAGGAACACAGAUCAAUGUUAUUAGUCAGUAAGUACUACUAAGGGGAGUCAUUGUGCUAACAGAAAAAGAUCUAUACAUUACAAUAAAUGACACCUGUGUCUGUGUGCAGACCUGGUGAGGCAGCCAGCGGAAGCAUUGGACUCAAGUUAAACAGUAUGACUCAUCUUCUUGUCGCCCUCACAGGCAGAAUAAAAGAUCAAGUCCACACAGUAACAAUGUCAUUGCAGGAAAUUUAAGUGAAGAACUCCAGCCUGUUACUUUACAUAAAUCCGGGCCUGAUGGAAACAGACUCGUGGAUGAAAGAGUGGGAAUGCAAAUGCAGAAGACAGAGAGGAUGUCGGCAAGCCAUGAACAAUACCCUUGAGGUCUCUUGAUUGGUGCUGGAAAUCUUGGCAGUCAGGGUUGGAAUUUAUACAGAGAUUCAGUCUGUCAUUUAUCAAGAUGCACCUUGGCAGUCUACAGAGCUGUGUGUUUGACCCCCUCUGUUGGAGAUGUCCUCUAUCCACAGCUUUGAGAAGACCUACCAGAUACCUGCUGGGAAGGCACUGGGAGGAGACAGUCCAGAACUGUACCCUGACCAGAGUGCGUGUGAAGAGAGUGAAGAAGAGUACACAUCAUCACUUGAUUUUACACUUCUCAACCAAGAAACCAUGUACUGAUAAUCGACAAUGUACACAUUGGUGUAGAAGUGAGUCACCAGGUACAACCUGUCUACAACCGGGGUCAGAGGGGCAUAAGGAAGGGUAGCCCAGGUACACUUCCUCCAUCAGGUGAAGUCACUCACCUUCUCCUUGAGAGAACUCAGAAAGGUCCUUUGGAGGGACAACCAAUGAAAAGAGGUUGACAGAUAUGCUAGAUGAAAAGCUUGGUGUAUUGGUAAGUCUUCCAAACAAUCUUGGUGCAAUGUCAAGGAAUAGGGAGGAGUUCUACAAAGAUAAAUCUUUGCUCAAAGUUCCAAGCUCAUCAUACCUAACUGUAUUAUACCCUUGUGGAUCCAGUCAUGAUGUAGCAUCUGGCGGUCAAUGUCUUUGCAUCCAGUUCAGCACAAGUAAAAACUAUCUAAUACCUUCCUGCCAUGGCAGAUUAUAGACCUCAUCCAUUGUGAUUCUCGAUCUUGCAUGUUAAGAGAGAGUUGGAAUCAUAGUAUUUCAGCAAUGCAUGCUUCAAGUUAUGAAACUUGCUGAAGCCUUGUGAUCAGGCUAUUACUGUAGUCAGCAACAGGUGGCAGGAAAAAAGGAAUUAUUUGUGUUUUUUUUCUUUUACUGUUUUUCAGUCUCUUGCACAUCAAUUAUUGGUCUUUUAAAAUUUUUAUUCCCUUUUUUCUUGCUUUGCGGCUAUCUGUGAGCAAGCACACCUCAAGCUUGUAUAGUUUAUCCAUUCUUUGAUAAUAAAUGUACUCGAAUCUUAAAGGCAAGCCCAUCCACUGGCAGUGGUCUUCUUUUUCAGACUCUUCCUCACCUGUCAUGGAAUUUCUGGUUUUAAGUGAGGCCAUGCAGCCUUUGCCUAUAUUUCAAGAGUUCUUCAGGAGGCAUUUUAGGACUUCACUGGAGAAGUCCAGGAAGCAGAGCCUCUGGUUGAUUACUCCAAUGAUCUGUCCCGACUUGCUCUGCGUUACUAUUGAUUUCAUUGAGGGAUUGUUGCUGAGUCAUGCAUGAAUUACUCCUGGAUCAGGAUCAGGAGCUAUUUCUUCACGGGCUAAGCCUUGUUGUCCAGUUAUUGGGCUUGUAUGGAAAACCUAACACAAAUAUCUGUAUUGUUCUCAAAACUGUUGUUAUGUAUACUCUUGGGAGCCUUGCCUUCAGAACGUUGAAUGCUGUGGUCUGCUGAUAUGUGUGAAAGAUAAUACUUCUGCUGUUCACUGCUGCAAAGCAGAAGGGAAGGAAAGACUUGCUAAUAGGUUGUGGGCACCUCCAUUGUUUUUUUUAUCAAUGAAACUAUAAUAGAUAUUUGCUUCCUUGGCCAGUAAGACUCUUGGUCAUGUUUGCUAAUCUUGCUUUCUAAACACAGCAGCUGCCACUUGUAACACAAAACAGUUAUAAGUAAACUUCCAACUAAUAUUGCUUUGUUUAGUUUCUGGUCAUCCAUCUUCAGUUCUUAAAAUGUAAAUGGAAAGCUGUAAUCAAUUCAAAGUUAACACAAUGUAUUGCUUGCAGAUGCUCUAUCUGUGAGAAGUACGAUGGUAGCUCACUACACCUGAAAUAUUACUGCUGGAGAAAUGCAAUAUAAGACAAUUUGGCUUAUUUCCAACAGACAAGCUGACUAAGUUGCUUAAUUCAAGGAAGCUUGUAGACCAGAUGGAUAAUAUCACUUAGCACAUCAAUAAAUGAUGUGUUUAUAAUUGAAAGAUUUAUGUACUCAAAAAGUUAGCUUUAUAGCAUAAGCUGGUAACUGUGUCUCCAAGAUGCUUUUAGACUUCUUGUGUUAGAAGUGUAUUUGAGGAUAUACCAUAUACAUGUGAAUUCAUCCAAGUGGUAGAGAAACAUUAUAAAUGUAGAGAGCAGUUCAGGCUUAUUAGGAAUGGGGUACGGUACAUCAAGCAGCAUGGAAGAAACACAGGGUGAAUUAGAAUCCAUUCCUCUGGUUAGAAUUUCUUUGACAGGCAACUUGUUGGUACGUCUUUUCAGUUGAGAAGAAUUGUACCUGUGCUUUGGAAAUCCUUUGUCCU